GUAGUAACUCAACCUCAACAGCGCUUUUCCUCUUCUUCUCUUUGAAAGUGUCCAGAAACCCCAUACCAUCAUUGACCAAACUCUACUGCCAGUAGUAGGGGCCAGAGGAGUCACCGAAACAGCAAUUCAGAAAUUAAAGAUGUUCUUGGGCAAGGUAGUCUUUCCUCUGUCACAUUAUCACUACCUUGCAAUGAUUGGCUAGCACAUCGGUUCCCUCAGCUGUGUAUCUCCUUCCCAGGGAGGUAUGAGAAGAAAGUGGAGGGAUCACCAAAGGAAGACAUCUGGCUAGAAGCCAGAAAUGUCGAAUGUCUCUCUAAAUAAAAGAACAACUUUAGGCACAAGUUUAUAUGGUUUUAAAAAGUAGAUAAAAUUUACCCAAAACAUAAAGCUGUAUAGUUCUGGUGAGAAUAAUAAAUGAUAUCUGAG
rnacentral:lncRNA from 1 species